CUUCAGGGGGAGCUUCAGAUCACGGGAUCGACAAGGUAAGUCAGGUUCAGAACAAAGUAUUAGUUUUGAGAGAAAUAAUAACAACAGACCAGCUAGUGGAGGGACCGUUCAAGUUGUUUGAUACUGAAAAUAACACUGUUACUGAGUCAACCUUCUGUGGCAAAUGGGUACUCAUGUACUUGGGUUACACUUCAUCACCUGAUGCUGGUCCAAGACAAGUUAAAAAAUGGCUGACGUUAUGAAAAUACUAGCUCUCACUUCCUUUCGUGCUCCCAAGAAUUUGAUCAUAGGAAUAACAGGUCCUGAAUCUGCUAUAAGACAGACUACACGGGGGUUGGUUCCGCGUAUACCACAAGGGAUGCCAUGCCUUCACAAUUCGGGUACCUACUAGAUUCAAAUAUGGAGAUGGUUAGAUUCUUUGGAGCAGAAUAUGAUCCACAACAAUUAGCUGAGGCCAUAAAGAUGGAGGUAAACACGAGUUCGAGAUGAACAAACAACUAUCUUUUGUAAGAACCUUUGGGCUCCCAUUUUGUGUGUAUGUUUCAGUCGUCCAUAAAGUAUGAUCAAAUUUAAAUUGCAUUGAUAGAGAGGCCCAAUCAGAUUUGGUCAGGAAUGUUCAUCAGAUUCAUGUUGGAAUUUACAUUUUGUUGUUUACCGGCAUUCUAGGCAACUAGGGCUCAAU